rnacentral:lncRNA from 1 species
CUCUGAAAUAUGGCCAAACUGGUGGCAAGUGGCAUCGUGGCAGCUGCACGCUUGACUUUUCUCAGUUCAUGGGCCGUUAUUUUGCGCCUUGGUUUUUCCACACGCUUCUUGCGACCCUGUUGACUAUUUUGAAUGAAACGCUUGAUUGUUCGAUGAUCACGCUUCAGAAGCUUUGCAAUUUUAAGAGUGCUGCAUCCCUCUGCAAGAUAUCUCACUAUUUUUGACUUUUCUGAGCCUGUCAAGUCCUUCUUUUGACCCAUUUUGCCAAAGGAA